rnacentral:rRNA from 1 species
UACGUAGGGUGCGAGCGUUGUCCGGAAUUACUGGGCGUAAAGGGCUCGUAGGUGGCCAACUAAGUCAGACGUGAAAUCCCUCGGCUUAACCGGGGAACUGCGUCUGAUACUGGAUGGCUUGAGUUUGGGAGAGGGAUGCGGAAUUCCAGGUGUAGCGGUGAAAUGCGUAGAUAUCUGGAGGAACACCGGUGGCGAAGGCGGCAUCCUGGACCAACACUGACGCUGAGGAGCGAAAGCCAGGGGAGCAAACGGG